UACGGAGGAUGCAAGCGUUAUCCGGAAUGAUUGGGCGUAAAGCGUCCGCAGGUGGCAAUGUAAGUCUGCUGUUAAAGAGUCUAGCUCAACUAGAUAAAAGCAGUGGAAACUACAUAGCUAGAGUACGUUCGGGGCAGAGGGAAUUCCUGGUGUAGCGGUGAAAUGCGUAGAGAUCAGGAAGAACACCGGUGGUGAAGGCGCUCUGCUAGGCCGUAACUGACACUGAGGGACGAAAGCUAGGGGAGCGAAUGGG
rnacentral:rRNA from 1 species